rnacentral:rRNA from 1 species
ACUCCUACGGGAGGCAGCAGUAGGGAAUCUUCCACAAUGGGCGCAAGCCUGAUGGAGCAACACCGCGUGAGUGAAGAAGGGUUUCGGCUCGUAAAGCUCUGUUGUUAAAGAAGAACACGUAUGAGAGUAACUGUUCAUACGUUGACGGUAUUUAACCAGAAAGUCACGGCUAACUACGUGCCAGCAGCCGCGGUAAUACGUAGGUGGCAAGCGUUAUCCGGAUUUAUUGGGCGUAAAGAGAGUGCAGGCGGUUUUCUAAGUCUGAUGUGAAAGCCUUCGGCUUAACCGGAGAAGUGCAUCGGAAACUGGAUAACUUGAGUGCAGAAGAGGGUAGUGGAACUCCAUGUGUAGCGGUGGAAUGCGUAGAUAUAUGGAAGAACACCAGUGGCGAAGGCGGCUACCUGGUCUGCAACUGACGCUGAGACUCGAAAGCAUGGGUAGCGAACAGGAUUAGAUACCCUGGUAGGAAAG